rnacentral:lncRNA from 1 species
GACAACCUAGUAUCUAAGUGGUGUUAGCUAGUGUUGACAAACACGAUUGCCAAGCCUAUCGUGCACGCUGAGCCUGCCUCCCAGCCGAUCAUGGACGGAUGCUCUCCCUCUAAUCGGCCCAUUGAAACGCCGACCAUUAUCACGAUAGUACCGAUCAUAACCGUUGCACUCAGGGCAAUCUCUGACAGUGGGAAGCUUGAUAUUCUCCUCCCAACAAUGGAUGAAGAACGGGCAAUUCCAGUGAUCCCUAUGCCGAUUCCACUCCUGUCGGCGUCUUUCCUCUUCCCGACGAUAAUCCUCUUGCUGGCGCCUAUACCGAUCUUCCCGUUGCUGCCAAUUCUCCCAAGGCCUUCUGUGAGUUAUCACGAUACCAGACCGGGGAGGCCUUCCUGAGCUGGUUCCUUCCUGGAUCAAUCCCUUUCCUCUCGCAUCGGCAGUAGUGACCUGAUGUUGAGGAUCUACCG